CUUUGAAAACCAAGGUCAUUUCCAUACCCAGAGAAGACAAGAUUCAUCUUUCCGUGAACAUCCAGCUCUGUGCAACACAGCGGUCCUACAGAGGCACCUCAGGCCCUUCCUUGAAACGCUCCAACAUCACGGCUUAGUGCCGCGAGCGCUGCCUCACUGCCUAAGUAAGGAAGAAAAGAUAAUGGAUUUCUCUCUCCUUCACAAUCCUGCAUUUCUCUGAGAGGCAAGUUCAUUCUGGUCUCCACACGUACUAAUAGUACAGGACUGCUUACAGCAAGACAUUUGUACGCACAGUAUACUUCAAAGUCAGUGGGUUCAGUGAGACUCUGCAGCAGAUCAGACUGGUAGUAGGUUCUUGCAUGACAGGCAAAAUGAAAUUUGUUUUCUACAAAACAGGCUAUUUUAGUUGCUUAAUAAAUAUUGAAUGACAAAGCA
rnacentral:lncRNA from 1 species